CCGCGGCGAGCGGCGGGCGCUGCCCCGGGCUGCGCUUCCACAGGGACGGGGCUGCUGGAGCGGGUCCGGCCAGGGGCUCGAGCCUCCUGCAAGGACCGGCGAACGAGUCCGCUGAGCGGCGGCUGAGGCAGCCGGGGCUCCAGGAGGCUCCGGGGGCACCUCACUGCCCCUGACAGGAGCGGGUAGUGAGAGCUCAAGGAGAGAUGCUGCUCUAGCUGGUCAUCAAUAAAUUUGGGAAUAAUCUCAUUUUACCUCUGAGUUUACGCUCUGAGAAGAGUGAAUGUAAAGCAGCAUCCAUGGCCAUUCCAAAGGGCAGGCACUUUGGGCCUUGUGCAGAUGAGAAGACUGAGUCAUUGAAAUCAAAGUCUCUGGUUAUGUCAUGAACAAAGCAGCACAGCAAAAAAGCCUGGCCCAGGUUUCUUGAUUCCUUGUUCUGUAUCCAUGUAUUUUUCCAUCUUCCUUUAAUCAGCAGCUAUUAGAAAAUAUCACUAAAAUUGUUUGUAUUCGUUCUCAACAGCAUAAAAUACAAUAUGUGUGGUAUGAAAAAAUGGUCAAACUACCUGACACAAUGUAAUUUUUAUGUUUUGCAAGCCCCAAAAGUAAUGUGUAGUUAUGGGGCUACACUUUCCAUAUCUGUAAUAAUAAAGUGUUCAUUAAUGUUU